GGAUGCGAUCAUACCAGUACUAAUGCACUGGAUCCCAUCAGAAUUCCGCAGACAAGCGUGCUUGGGCGAGAGUAGUACUAGAAUGGGUGACCUCCCGGGAAGUCCUCGUGUUGCAUCCC
rnacentral:rRNA from 1 species